UACGGAGGAUGAAAGCGUUAUCCGGAAUGAUUGGGCGUAAAGCGUCCGCAGGUGGCUGUGUAAGUCUGCUGUUAAAGAGUGAGGCUCAACCUCAUAAAAGCAGUGGAAACUACACGGCUAGAGUGCGUUCGGGGCAGAGGGAAUUCCUGGUGUAGCGGUGAAAUGCGUAGAUAUCAGGAAGAACACCGGUGGCGAAAGCGCUCUGCUAGGCCGCAACUGACACUGAGGGACGAAAGCUAGGGGAGCGAAUGGG
rnacentral:rRNA from 1 species